rnacentral:lncRNA from 1 species
AGGUAAGCAUUCAAGAAAGACAAUUAUGUUCUCAAGAUUUACUAUGCUCCUCAUUAGAAGAAAUGAGAUUUUACCUGGUCGCUCUGCCUUUAAUCUCUUUUCCUUGUAUGGACUGUACUUGAACAUAUGUUUCGGCCGCUUGCAGCCUCUAGCAAUUGUAGAUGUUGAGGUUGGCUCCUCAUACUGUGAUGCUGAAAAUGAUGGAGUUAAUUUACUAUGGCAUCCUGAAGUCUGAAUUUAAUUACGAGUAUAUUCUAUUUCAUCAGUGGCAGAAGAUACUCUUAUCACAUCUCUAAUGUUUUUGGAACUCGGUAACUGGUCAAUUGAACCAAUUGUAGAUGAUCGUCCUGUAAAAGAUAAGGCAAGGCAUACAAAAGUCGAGCCUGGAUGUCACCUUAAAUUUUCUUCUUGCGGGCGGUGCAAUAGGUGUUUGAUAGAGAAUGACACAAAUGUUGCUCAUAUUGUAUGAUAUCCUUUUUGAUCGUAUGUGUAGCAUAGAAUCCCAUUUUAUGGAUGUAUCACAAUUUUCCCAUCAAAAUGUGGCCGGAGUGUACGAUUGGAUCAGCAAUUGAGUAUUAUUACUGCUACUUUUUCUAACAUUUGCACUGAUCUUGCUUUUACCGUUUUGAAGUGGUGUUGUACUAUAUAUGUUGUAGUUGUUGUGGACCUUCCUGCCGGUAUACUUUUGGCGAAGUUUUUUUUUUUUUUUUUCUGCUUUUUUGGUUUUUGUAAUGAUUAAGUGUGAUUCUAGUCUAUUUCUGGUCCACCCCUUCUGGAUGAGGGUGAGUUAUUUAGUGAGCAAAUUUGUAUAACAAAAUUUUUCCCCUUUAAACGCAAGUCUCUGUGUUAACCACGGAGGGAAGCUAAUUUGGGGUCCCUCAGUCCGAAAGUUCUUUGACUACUUGGAAGUGGGUGAAUGCUAUAAAAUUUAGAGAAGCUGAAGAUGCUUAUGUAGAAUCGCGCUACCGUGUACCGUAAGAUUUUUCAUGAGAAUUGAAUUCUUCAUGUGGUGUCUUACAUAAUAAUCAACAGUUAUUUUAUAGCCUAUGUUGCUAAAUAAAAUCUUGCCAUAAGGUUAAUAUAAUAGCUCUUAUAGCUAUUUUGAAAGCAAGAAUCGAAGUGUGGAGGUUAUUGAUCUCUUAAUGGGAAGGGAAAAGUUUUCGAUCUUUUACUGAAAACUUUCACCCAAAAUGAUCUAAAUAAUAUCUUGCCACAAGGUUAAUAAAACAGCUCUUGUAGCUAUUUUGGUCAUUGAUCUCUCAAUGAAAAAGGAAAAGCAUUCGAUCUUUUACUGGAAAAGGGAAUUGUAGAACCAAACUUCACUGAAAAUGAGAAGUGGACUCAAAUGACGCACUUACUAUCCGUCAUAAUGUCAGGAACAGCGUUCAUACGUCGUCGUUCUAAUGAGUCUAGCUGAACGAUGCAGUUGCACGAGAAACGGUGUCGCUUUACUUAAAAGAUGUUAGUUAGUCGGUUGCAUCAGUUUAUAAAUAAGGGACUCUGUGAUUGGUCAGGGCAUCUGAUUGUAAUAACAAAUUUCUGUUACAUUCCCUCCUCUUCCUUCUCGUUCUUGAUUCUCUCUCUUUUUUUCCCCUUUCCCUCCAAUUUCCAAAUCUGGUCAAUCAAAACCCUGACAAAUUGGUAUCAGAGCUACCGAUCCUUGGUAGCUCCAAUGGCGGAAGGAACUCGCCUAAAAUCCUUGGAAGAACACGUGAAGAAGCAGGAAGCAAGACUACAAGAGGCUUUGGAGGCAUUUCACUCUUCUCAGCUGCAAUUUCGAGCUGAUUUUGGUAAUGAAAUCAGAGUAGAGAUGGAGAAUUCCAACAUGAAGUUGGAGAAACUGGAGGCGGCGAUGAGCGGAUUGGAGCUGAAAUUUAACUCUUUCCUACAGAUAAUGAUGAACAGAGAAAAGAGCAUUGCGGAGGAGGCAAGAGAAGGACCACUGCUACCUACUCCACCGCCUCAACAUAGGAUCAACAAGGGAGGCGAAAGCAAUGGAGACUUCACCAGAAGAGAGGAAGGUAGGAUCUAUGCACCUCUUCCUCCUAAACUAGAGUUACCUCUUUUUCAUGGAGAAAAUCCACAGGAAUGGCUAAGAAAAUGUAAUAAGUAUUUUCUGAACUAUCAUAUUCCUGAGAACCAGAAGGUAGAUGUAAUCGAGAUGUUUUUAGAGGGAAAGGCAGAUAGAUGGUUUCAAGGCCUUAAGAUGGAAAGGACAGGCCUCAGUUGGACAGAAUUUGAGGAAUUUUUGUGCAAGAGGUUUGGUAACAAAAUUUGUAAAGAUAUAGUGGAAGAAUUUAACAAGAUCCAGCAGGUUGGGAGUGUUGAGGACUAUCAGGAAAAGUUUGAGGAGCUCAAGCCAUUAAUGCUGAUAAAAAAUCCCUAAUUAGAUGAAGGAUACUUUGUGUCAAGCUUCAUUAGCGGACUUAAGGAAGAAAUUAAACCAAUCCUCAGGAUGCUUAAGCCUACAGAACUGUCUGCUGCCUAUGAAAUGGCCCAACUACAGGAGUACUCCUUGCAGUUGCAGAACAGACAAGGAAGGGAAGUGCAGAAAAAUCUAGCGGAAAAUAAGUUCGGCAUGCACAAGAGUCAGCCUCCAAGCACCAACUCAGGAAAUCUAUAUAGGAUUCCCCCUGUUAACCAACCCAAGUUUUCCAAUGCAAGAAGGACAGCUGCAGAUUACAAUUCCACUAGGAGGAUUUCACCUCAGGAAAUUUAGUACAGAAGAAACAAUGGACUGUGCUUUAAGUGUGGGGAGAAGUACGGAGCUGGACAUUAGUGUAAAAUGGGACACCUAAACUUCUUUCUUGGGGAUGAAGAAGAGGACACGGAAUUUGAGGAUGCAGUGGGGGAACAGGAUGAGCACACGGGGAAUCUAGGAACUGUUAUGGAGAUGUCCUUACACACACUGUCAGAAUCUCUCAAAAGAAACACUAUCACAAUCACAUGGCAUCUAGAUGGAGAGGAGGUGCUAAUCCUAGUGGAUACAGGGAGUUCUGAUAGCUACAUCGACAGUGAGUUGGUCAUUGCACUAGAUAUUCCUUACAAAAUGGUUUCACCUUUCUCUGUUAUUGUUGGGAAUGGAGCAUGUGUAACCAGCAAGGCCAUCUGUCCAAGGGUCAGAUGAGAAGUCAAUCAACAUCAAUUUGGUUUUGACCUGAAAGUGAUGCAGCUAAGUGGCUGGCAUAUUGUGCUAGAAGUGGAUUGGAUGACUCAUUUUAGCCCCAUCACGUUUGAUUUCCACAAUCUUAGGAUCUCUAUGGAGUAUCAGGGAGAAACAGUUCAUCUACAAGGGAGUUCAGAGGAUUGUGAGUUGGAUCUGAUCAGGGGCAAAGAUCUUAGGCAUUUCAUAGAAUAUAAGAAGAGAUGCCUUGCUAUUAGAACCAUAGAAACAGAAAUGGCUCCAGCAGGAGUCUCAGAAGGGACAAGAGAGGAGCAGCAACCUCAGGAAAUCAAGGAAUUGCUGGAAGAAUUCUCAGAGGUUUUUCAGCAGCCUGUGUCUUUACCACCUAUCAGGGCAUGUGACCAUGCGAUUCCCUUGAAGGCAGGAGCUCAACCAUUCAAGCUUAAGCCUUAUAGAUACCCCCAUUCUCAGAAGGAUGAAAUUGAGAGACAGGUUACAGUGAUGUUACAACAUGGAAUUGCAAGGCACAACAACAGUCCAUUUGCAUCACCAGUUUUAUUGGUCAGGAAGAAGGAAGGCUCUUGGCGAUUCUGUGUGGACUACAGGAAGCUGAAUGCAAUCACCAUCAAAGAUUGCUAUCCCAUUCCAAAUGUGGAUGAGCUGCUGAAUGAGUUGGCUGGAUCCAAGUACAAGUCUAAACUGGACCUGACUGCAGGUUACCAUCAGAUCAGGGUCAAACCUCAAGAUGUGCACAAGACAGCAUUUCAAACUCAUUGUGGCCAUUAUGAAUUUUUAGUCAUGCCUUUUGGGCUGACUAAUGCUCCUGCAACUUUUCAGUCCUUAAUGAACCAAGUUUUUCGACCUUAUUUGAGAAAAUUUGUUUUAAUCUUCUUUGAUGACAUCCUAAUCUAUAGUAAGACAUGUGAACUACACUUGCAGCACCUGAGGCUUGUGUUGACUUUACUUAGGGAUAAUCAGUUGUUUGCUAAAGGCUCCAAGUGUUUAUUUGCACAAAUUAGAGUGGAUUAUUUGGGACACACCAUCUUAGAAGAAGGAGUUAGCAUGGAUUCUUCCAAAGUGAACAGUAUUGUAACAUGGCCUACACCCAAGUCAGUGAAGGAUUUAAGAGGAUUUCUGGGACUUACAGGGUACUACAGAAGAUUCAUUAAAGACUAUGGGGUUUUGUGCAGACCUCUGACUGAACUACUAAGGAAGGAUGCAUUUGUGUGGACUGACACAACUCAGAAGGCCUUUGACUUACUCAAAAGAGUGAUGACCACAGCUCCAGUACUCAGGUUGCCUGACUUUAAGCAGCCAUUUGUGGUGGAAACUGCUCCGAGUGGAGGGGGAAUUGGAGCUGUGCUCAUGCAGGAGGGUCAUCUUAUUGCAUUUCUCAGUAAAUCAUUGAGUCCAAAGAAUUUAGGGCUGUCUGCCUAUGAAAAGGAAUUGUUAGCAUUAGUGAUGGCGGUGACAAAAUGGAGACACUACUUAGUGGGCUACCAUUUCAUCAUCAGGACUGACCAUCAAUCUCUAAAAUACUUGCUGGAUCAGAAGUUGACAACAGCAAUACAGCACAAAUGGUUAACCAAGCUUCUGGGACUGGAUUAUGAGAUUCAGUACAAACGGGGCAGUGAGAAUUUGGUAGCUGAUGCACUUUCCAGAAGAGCUGCAAUGGGAAGUGGGGAGGAGCACAGGACAGGCACCUGUCUGGCUUUAACUACUGUUAAACCAGUGUGGAUGACAGAACUAGUCAAAAGCUAUGAGCAAGACUCUCAGUGUCAGGAGUUAAUUGCCAAGAUGGUAUUAGAACCUGAAUUCCCAUAUCAGUAUCAACUAAGUGAUGGUAUCAUCAGGUAUAAAGGGAAGCUCUAUGUAGGAUCAAGUAAUGGAGUCAGGGAGCAAAUCAUGGGAGCCUUGCACUCUUCUUCUAUUGGAGGCCAUUCAGGACAGAGAAUGAGUUGGCACAGAAUCAGUAGCAUAUUUUAUUGGCCUGAAUUGAAACAGGACGUUAAGAAGUUUGUACAGACAUGUGAUACUUGUCAGAGGAACAAGGCUGAGCACAUUCAGUAUCCUGGACUUUUACAGCCUCUUCCUAUACCCAGUCAAGCGUGGAUACACAUCUCUAUGGACUUCAUAGAGAAGCUACCACUUUCACAAAACUUUGAUACCAUUCUGGUGGUUGUGGAUCGACUCACCAAAUACAGUCACUUCUUGUUGCUUGUUCAUCCCUUUUCAGCUAAGCAGGUGGCACAAGUUUUCAUUGAUCAGGUGUAUAAGCUCCAUGGAUUGCCUGAAACUUUAGUUACAGAUAGAGACAAAAUCUUUACUAGCCAUUUCUGGAAGGAGUUAUUUUGAUUGGUGGGGGUGAAUUUGUGUUACAGCUCUGCAUACCAUCCAGAGACAGAUGGUCAAAUUGAAAGAGUUAACCAGUGUGUAGAGGCAUAUUUGAGGUGUAUGACUGGAGAAUUUCCAAGUCAAUGGAGUAAGUGGCUUUCCCUAGCUGAAUGGUGGUACAAUUCUGCUUAUCAUUCAAGCUUGAAUGUGACCUCCUUUGAAGCUCUCUAUGGCUACAAGGCAUUACCUUUACCAAUGGGUCCCUACUGUGACUCUAUCGUUCCUGCAGCAGCUCAAGCACUCCAGGACAGAAUGAGGAUCUCAGCCAGUAUCAAGGAGCAUCUACUUAAGGCUCAGCAGCGAACUAAAUAUUUUGCAGACAGACAUAGAACUGAGAGGAGUUUCGAAGUUGGGGAUUUAGUGUUUCUCAAGCUGCAACCAUACAGGUAGCAAACCAUGGCCAUUAGAAGGAACCUUAAGCUGUCAGCAAAAUUCUAUGGUCCAUUUGAAGUGGAAGAGAAGAUAGAGGAGGUUGCUUAUAAACUCAAAUUGCCCCCUGCAGCAAGGAUACACCCAGUGUUCCAUGUCUCGCUACUGAAGAAGAGAAUUGGUCCACCACAGCAAGUCUCCACUACCCUGCCAGAAUUCGAUUUGCAGGAUCAAUGCCCCUUGAUGCCAGAAAUGGUUCUGAAGAGACGAGCUAUUCUAAGGAAGGGAGUGCCCGUGGUACAAUACCUGAUCAAAUGGCAACAAUUGGAGUAUGAUGAAGCAUCCUGGGAAGAUAAGGAUUUCGUGGAGCACCAGUUUCCUGAAUUCAAGACUUGCGGACAAGUCUAAACUGAAGGAGGAGGCAAUGUCAGGAACAGCGUUCAUACGUCGUCGUUCUAAUGAGUCUAGUUGAAUGAUGCAGUUGCACGAGAAACGGUGUCGCUUUACUUAAAAGAUGUUAGUUAGUCGGUUGCAUCAAUUUAUAAAUAAGGGACUCUGUGAUUGGUUAGGGCAUCUGAUUGUAAUAACAAAUUUCUGUUACAUUCCCUCCUCUUCCUUCUCGUUCUUGAUUCUCUCUCUUUUUCCCCUUUCCCUCCAAUUUCCAAAUCUGGUCAAUCAAAACCCUGACACAUAACUCAACUAAUGUUGAUAUGGUGCUAUUACUUAUUCAUCAUUUUCCAACCCCUUAAUCGAUCAUUCCCAUUUCUGUGCCUGAAAGUCUUAUUUGGUAUGCGAACUUUUUGUUCACUCCUGCCGUCAAGAAGAAAUGAGUCAAAAACUCCAAUAAUAUUGUGUGUUUGGAUAGAGAUAAUUUGAAAAAAAAUAAUUUGCCUCACAAAUCCCAAUCACCUUUUUAUCUUACAUAUAUCAUAUCACAAAAAGUGUUACAGUAAUUAUCUCAAAUAAAUCAUCCAAAUAAACUCUUACUGUGUAUGAAUGAAUUUUCAGAUGAAAGUGGAGAAUUUUCUUAACAUGUAUUAAAAGUCGAGAAAUCGAGAUGCCAUAUCAGAAAAAGCUACAGUACAAACCGUGGAGAAACCUAAGGCUUCAUUGGGAUUGAGGAAUUUGAUGAAAGAUUUAGUUGUUUAAAAAUUAUAAGAGGUAUUUCGGUUUGUAAUUCACCAAUUAUAUAAAUACACUUUAUAUAUUAAAUUAAUUGGUAAUUCACAAAUCCAAAUAACUCCUAAAUCAUCUAAACAAUUAGAGGGAUUUGAGAGGAUUUCAUCAAAUCCCUCAAUCCAAACACAACUUAAUUUAUCGCUCUUAGCUUAUUGCAAGCUAAUGCAGAAAAAGCCAGGCAAGCUUAUAUAAUCAACAGUAGAAACAAUAAAGAAAUCAUACUUGAUGAGCUCAUCGCUUAGCUAAUUCUGUUAAAUUUAUGAGGGCAAACAGUCGGAAGUCCUUGAAGUGCCCAGCAAGAAACAUUGAUGUUACGAAAACUAUGACAAAUUUCCUAUAAAUACAACUCUGCAGGGUCUCCCUUCUAUCAAACAACACCCGAAAAUUGUGUAGUUUUACCGAACCACUCCAAGUCUCCAACCCUUUUUCUUUCCUUUCGUUUUUCUAGAAAAGAUUCAGGUUUUGCAAAGCCCGCAAGAAUGGCUGAUGAACUGAUUGUGUUGGACCACGAAUAUAGUCCUCCUGCUAACAGGGUAAUAAUUGCAUUGAAAGAAAAGGGCAUAGCCUUCGUGUCCAAACAAGAAGAUUUGCCGAAUAAGAAGAGUUCAUUGCUCUUAGAAAUGAACCCGGUGCAUAAACAGAUCCCUGUCCUAAUUCACAAUGGGAAGCCGAUUUGUGAAUCCCUCAUCAUUGUUGAAUACAUUGAUGAAGUCUGGAACGACAAAUCUCCUUUGCUGCCAGCUGAUCCUCAAGACCGAGCUCACUCAAAGUUCUGGUCUGAUUAUAUAGACAAAAAGGUAAUUUCGACUGAAUGAACCAUUCUGUUCUCCUAUUAGUAAAAUUAGAACGAACCAUUUUCGUGCCAGCUUAAUUUCUUGAACAGCCCUACGUUAAUGCUUCCACAUAGGAUUUUAUGAAAAUUUACAGAGAGUAUGAUGGCUUUUGAAUUUUCUGAUCUGAUUAUUGCGAGCAUAAUCUAACUAUCCCGGAGUAUAUGGGUUGUGUAAUACAGAUCUAUACUUCUGGAAGACCAGUGUUUGACAACCAAGGGUGAAACCCAGGCAGCAGCCAUGAAAGAGCUAAUAAGCAGCCUCAAAGUAUUGGAUGCAGAGCUUGGAGACAAACCUUACUUUGGGGGAAAGACUUUUGGCAUCACAGAUAUUGCCCUUAUACCCUACUACAGCUGGUUUUAUGCACUGGAGAAGUUUGGAAACCUGAAGAUGAAUGAGGAGUGCCCAAAACUUGUUGCAUGGGGUGAAAGGUGCAGGCAGAGGGACAGUGUGUCCACAACUCUGCAUAAUCUGUACGAGACUUGUGACUUCGUGUUGGAGCUAAGAAAGAAGCUUGGAGUUGAGUGAAUGAUAGGAAUUGAGUAUCUUUAAACUCUCGUAUUUUAUUUCGAAAUCUCCUUUUUCCAUCUGCAUUUGUGAUAUAAACAAUGCAGGCUUGCAGAAUUAAGAAGAAUAAAAGUUGCUUUAGGUAACAAGAGUGAUUCUCACCCUAGCUAGUUUUGAAGGUUCAAUUAGUGAUAUUUUCUAUGGUUACUAUUUUGUUCAAAUAUCACUUAUUCAAUGUUCAAAUCGGCAGAGCUGAGAUACAUGUGUUAUCAUAAAAAGAUUGUUUGAAAAUAAUUAUAAAUCAAUAAAAAUUUUAUUUCCAAUUUCAUUUUAAUGGCGUUUGCUCGGAUGUUUUAUUUGUCUCAUUGUGUUGCUCCUCCUGUUUUGAUGAAGCAAAAAUUGCAAAAAUAUAAACACAGUGAUUUUAAAUGUUACAGCAAUUCUUAAGUAUCAAUCAUGUUUUUGUACAACUAAACUACUUUUCUCUUAUUCAAUUCCCAAAAAAAAGAAUAACUUACAUAUCCUCUUGAAAUUAUUCAAUUCUUAAGUGUUGAUCCUCCCGUGCUAUUAGGGUUAAUUCUAUUUUGCACCCUUUAACUAGAGCCUAAUUACGAUUUUGGUCCUUAAACUCUAAAUUAGGACAUUUUAAUCCCUAAACUAUACCUUGAUUUCUACUUUGGCUUAUUUUUUUCAUUUUUUGAAAAACAGUUUUUAGUGUAAAUGGAAGGUUUUCGAACAUGUGACCUCUUAUUUGGACCCCCUCCUCACGUCCCAUCCAACCUAUCCUUCUUCCCUAAUUUUUGGUUUGAUUCUUAAACUUUAAAUUGAAACUCUUUAAUCCCUAAAAUAUACCUUGAUUUUCAAUUUGGACUCCCAAAAUACUCUCUUCCUUCUAACUUUAGAAUUUUUUGGGUCAUUGUUUAAUUUGAUUUUCUUUCUACGCCCUUACAACAUGUAAUCAUGCUACUCAAAUGACUAUUGACCAGUAUUCCGUUGUUUUUGGGGAUUUCGUUAAUGACUGUACUUAAAUAGGAUCGUUUUGAUAGUUUAGAAACUAAAGUGUCUCAAUUCAUAAUUUAGAGAUCAAAAUAAGAAUUGAAGUACAGUUAAAGGUUGCAAAUGGAAUUAAUCCCAAACUUUGGUGCUUUCACCCUUUUAACUUGCAAGACCUCUCCGGCAAUUUUCUAAACUCUCUAGCAUACAGAUUAACAACCUGACACUCUCGUAUGUUUCAGACGAGCAUACUAAAGAGCUCCUUUCUUAGCCAAAAUGCCAGCACAAGGAUGUCUCUCUCUCUCUCUCUCUCUCUAUUAUACCCAUGAAUAGAGAAUAAAUCAACUCAUUAUAUGUAGGACUUAGGGGUGGCAAUUCCUGACCUGACCUGAAAACACGACACGGACCUAAUACGAAAUUAAUGGAUUUGGGUUGAGGUUUGGGAGGUUCGGGUCAGAAUCGGGUCGAAUCCGAAAAGAAAACAUGUCGAUUUCGGGUCAACCCGUGGUGACCUGAUAUGACCCGAUAUGACCCGUUUACAAAUUAAAAAUAAUUUAAUACACAUAAAAAUUAUUGGAAAUUUCGCCAUUUUCGUCCCUAAACUUUUACACUAAAACCAAUUUCGUCCUUUAUGAUUUUUUUUAGCCAAUUUAGUCCUUUGACUAUUUUGAAGUCUCCAAUGUAGGACUUUUGCGGCAGCAACACCACAUUUUACAUAUUCUGUACAACCGACGAGGGGUAUAUUUGUCAUUUAAAUUAAAUUCUUUAAUUUAAAUGGACUACUUCUUCUCCAUGGAAAUCUCAUCCCAUUCACCAGAAAUUCACACAAACUCUCUCUCACACACACUCAAUCAUGAAACAAAAUUUACAAGAAAAAAACAAAAAAUCAAAAGCUGAGUAAUAUCGUACAUCUACUUAUUAGUGCCACUGACAAUUGGGUUUGCAGGGGGAAGGGCACUGAAGAACCAGAGUGUUAGCGGCCAAGUUUUUAGAAACAAGACAAACUCAUGGAGAUCGGAUUUCCACGCAUUUUCUCUUUCCGCCCCCCGUUUUUGGUGGGUAGGGGGGGUGCGCUUCUCGCUUCUGCUUGAGCGGCUAAUCUGGGAUUUAAGUUUUAUUGUGUUUGUUUUCUCUUUAACUUCAUAUUAAUGUUGCAUUGAAAUAAUGGGGCGGUUUGGGAAAUGAUGAGACUGUUAAACCAUUUUUGUUCAGAGGCUCUAUUAGAUUAUCUGGGUUGUGCUGAACAAUCUUUUGCACAUCAGUCUGAUUCCGAACACCUUUAAUAGUUUGACUACUAUUAAGGGAAAACAAAUCAAUUACUUCAACUUCCAUUUGUUUUUUUUUUAAAUAGGGGUUUUAUCUUAUUUUUUUCUCUUUCUCCAAUUUCAGCAGAAAAUUUGCCAUCUGGGCGUGCAUGUUUUAGUAGUUACCCGUUUUGUUUCUUUUAGUUUCCCAGUUUUUUUGAUAGUACCUUUUGCCAGUUCACUACACGUGAAAAUGAUUGGGUUGGAGUAGAUUCUGUAAUUGGCAGUCAUACAGGGGUGAGAAGUAUUCAGCCUCAUUUUGAUGUUAACUAUCAAUUUGACGUAAAGCAGAAAGUCUUCAAUUUUCUCAGCGUGGACUGAAGAAUAUAUAAUAUGUGUGUGUGAAGUGAGAGUUUGUGCGAAUUUCGUGAAUGGGAUGAGAUUCCCAUUGGAGAAGAAGAACUAUAGUCAAAGUGCAUUUAAAUUAAAGAAUUUAAUUUAAAAUGACAGUUAUACCCAUCAUCGAUUGUACAGAAUAUGUAAAAUAUGGUGUCGCCGCUGCAAAAGUCCUACAUUGGAGACUUCAAAAUAGUCGAAGGACUAAAUUGGCUAAAAAAUAUCAUAAAGGACGAAAUUGGUUUUAGUGUAAAAGUUUAGGGACGAAAAUGGCGAAAUUCCCAAAAUUAUUUGAUCUAACUAAACUAAAUCAUUCUUUUUUUUCAAAGGCAUUAAAUCAUUAAUUACUUAAUCCUAAAUGAAUUUAUUUAACUUGUGUGAAGUUGAAAUUAUCAUAUUUGGACAAAUAAUAUAUUUUAUUAUUUUUUACUUUUAUGCUAUUUUAAUUUAUUUUAUAUUUGGUUUGGGAUAAAACACUUUUACGGUGUUUAAUUUAUUUUACAUUUGGUUUGGAAUUAUUUAUUUAAAUUUUUAUUACUUGAUGAUGUAAUUAAUUUUGUAAGAAAUUGAUUUUAUUAGAAAUUAUAGUGAUAAAUUAAUAAAUCAAAAUUAAGUUUCGGGUAAUUUCGGGUCGACCCUGCCAACCCGCCAACCCGAAAUUUUCGGGUUCGUGUCAGGUAUCCUGACCCGUUUCGGGUUGGCGGGUCAGGUUCGGAUCAGCGGGUUUUUUGUUAUACUUGGGCCUCAAUCCGACCGCCAACCCGAACCCAACUUGAUUGCCACCCUUACUGUAGGACCCUCAUGGUAUGUGUUGGACAAAGAUGUCAAACAACAUUUUUGUGCAGUAUAGAUAGUGGAUGGCUCCUUGUAUAACUUUAAACAUUAAUUUGGUUCGUAAUAAACCUCGGGAUAAAUUGUAUCAAAAAAUGUAUAGAUAGUAGAUGUCCUCUUGUAUAACCAACUCCCUCCAGACGAAUUGGCCAUCACAUUAAUUAAUUAUGGAGUGGGAGAUCAAAAGUUCAAAUCUUGCCUCCCAUCAAGGUUCCUCCGGCUUAGUUGAACCUUUCUAUAGAAUAGAUUGCCUCCUCCCCCGCCCCCUAGGAGUAAGGGUAGACUAGACAUGUGCAUUUACGACAAAAAAAAAAGUCCUCUUGUAUAACUCUAAACGUUAAUUUAGUUCCUAAAUAAACUUCUAUUUAGGCAGGUAUAAAAGAAUAAUUAUGACUACGGUUUGUGGAAGAAAUUCUGUGAAGAAGAAGCAUACACAAUUGGAAAUCUUUAGACAAUUUUUUUUUACACAGUAGACAACAAAAUUAUGUUUAUUUCUAUGCACCAAAAGUUUCCUAAAUUUUCAACUAGUACUUGGCUUCAUUUCAGCAAUUUUAGGUGGGUGCAAUUAUAGGACAGUAUUGAAAAUUGACAAUUCUUUUAAGCCAAUUUUGAAAAUUCUUCAAAGUUGAGGCGGUCCGCCACUGUUGUGCAACCGUUUACCAUGAGAUUUUGGAGAGAAUCAGAGAAGUGAAAUCAUCGUCUAGUGUUUUCUGUUUUUUUUUUUGUUUUUGUUUUAGAAAGUCUUAUUUGGUAUGCUAGCUUUUGUUUAAUUUUGCUGUCAAUAAGAAAUGAGUCAAAAACCGCCAUUAGACUGUAAAUGAAUGAAUUUUCAGGUGACGAAGAUUUUAGUGGAGGAAAGAAAAAGAUUCUGUCAUUUCUUAAAGAUGUAAAAGUCAAGAACUUUUGAUGCUGCCUCAGAAAAGGAUCGGCUACAGCUGAAACAAUCAAGUAAACGUACUCUUAGCUCAUCGCAUACGUAAUGCAGAAGAAGAGAAGCGAGCUUAUAUUAUAUGUAGAAACCAGAGAAAAAAGUCAUACUACUGAAUCAGUCUUAGGCCUUAGCUCAUCGCAUAGCUAAUGCUGAUAGAAAUAGUGAGGCCAGAGGUCCUUGAAGUUCCUAGCAAGAAACUUCCCCUGUAUGAUCAAUUUAAUUAUGGAUUGAUUUUGGGAAGACCAUCACGACUUUACUAUAAAUACAACUCUAAACUGUCUCUUUUCUAUCAAAAAAAAAAACUGAUUUCGCAUAGUUUCACAGAACCACUCCUAGUCUCCAACCCUUUCCCUUUCCUUCUCUUUCUCUGGGUUUGGCAAAGCUUGUAAGAAUGGCUGAUGAAGUGAUUCUGUUGGACCAUGCAUAUAGUCCUCCUGCUGUCAGGGUCAGAAUUGCAUUGAAAGAAAAGGGCAUAGCCUUCGAGUCCAAACAAGAAGAUUUUUCGAAUAAGAGUUCAUUGCUCUUAGAAAUGAACCCGGUGCAUAAACAGAUCCCUGUCCUAAUUCACAACGGGAAGCCAAUUUGUGAAUCCCUCAUCAUUGUUGGAUACAUUGAUGAAGUCUGGAAUGAAAAAUCUCCUUUGCUGCCAACUGAUCCUCAUGACCGAGCUCACUCAAAGUUCUGGGCUGAUUAUAUAGACAAAAAGGUGAGAGCAACUGUCCAAAUCAUCAUCUCAAUUUUUAGUGUGUCCAUAUAUCACUACUGUUCAUAUGGUUAACUAAAUAAAGUGCGGUCCCUUAUAUGUAAUACCAGAACGAAUUAUAUUAGUGCCAGCUUAAUUUCUUGAACGACCACCCUAGAUUAUAAUGCGAUUUUACAUGGAGGUGGGUGAACAAUGAAUUUUCUGAUCACUUUAUUGUGAGCAUAUUCUAACUAUGCCGGAAUACAUGUGCUGUGUAAUACAGAUUUAUACCCUUGGAAGAGCAGUGUGGACAGCCAAGGGUGAAACCCAUGCAGCAGCAAAGAAAGAUCUCAUAAGCAGCCUCAAAAUAUUGGAAGCAGAGCUUGGAGACAAACCUUACUUUGGGGGAAAGACUUUUGGCAUCACAGAUAUUGCCCUUAUUCCCUAUUACAGCUGGUUUUAUACAUUGGAGAAGUUUGGAAACCUGGAGAUGAAUGAGGAGUGCCCAAAACUUGUUGCAUGGGGUGAAAGGUGCAUGCAGAGGGAGAGUGUGUCCACAACUCUGCAUAAUCAGUAUGAGACUUAUGACUUCAUUUUGGAGCUAAGGAAGAAGCUUGGAGUUGAGUGACCAGAAGCUUUGUGAUUUUCUCUGCGCAUCUCUUUUCCAUCUUCAUUCAAUGAAAAAAAAAAUAAAAUUGCAGGCUUGCAGGAUUAAGAAGAAUAAAUGUUAGUUCAAGAUAUGAGAGUGAUCCCCACCCUAGCUAGUUUUGAAGAUUCAGUUUGUGAUAACUUGUAUGGUUACUAUUAUAUUCAAAUAAACACACAGACGAUGUUUAAUAUAAUUUGCCCAGCACCAUGCUUUCAACUUUCAUCAAAUUGGCAGGGUUGAGAUACAUAUACUAAAAUAGUGAAGAGAUUUAUAAUUUUUGUUCGUCCCAUUGAGUGUUCUGCUUCGUUUUAUUAUUAUAUUGUCUGCACAGAGCCUUAUGCAUGUAGGAUUUCUAUAUAUGUUUGUGCCCAUAUGCAUUUUGGUUGGCACUCAUGCCUAGAAGAAAUCCAGAGUUACAUUUGUCCCCUCUAUUAAAUGCUCAAAUCCAGAGCCAAAGAAUUCCUCAGGUCAAGUGAUUUUUUUUUUUGUUGGCUAAUUAUAUAAUUAUUUUAUCUCCUUAUCCUUAUAUUUUGAAUAUUUUUAGUCUUUUAAGUCACUUUCAUUUUUUUCCGACUCAAAACAAUUGACUUUUGUGGAAUGAAAUAAACCUAAUCCGAAAGCUAAUAUCAAAAGCCGACAACUCUUUAGUCUUUAAGUCACUUUCAUGAGUAUUUGAAAUCUCAAACAGUGUAAACUAACCAUAGGAUAAUUUUAUGCAUGUCUGCGUCCAUUUAUCAUUUUGGAUUCAAGAAUUGAUAGAACCUAAAAUAUGUGGUAUAGAGCCAACCAUUUGCCUCUCUAAUCGGAUGUGGUUUAAAAUGCUCACCUCAAAUUUGUGCCUCUCUCUUCAUGACCAUCACCCCCAUUUGUCUUCAUCUCAGCUAUUAUUUUAUCACCUUUUUUUGUUCCAUAACUCGUCAUUAUUUUUCUUGGUUCAUUGUCCUUUUUCUCCUUUUAAGUUUAUCUUCACUUCUCUACUUGCGGUUUCCCUCUGCAUGCACUCUUCUCACUAGUCUUGCAGAGUUAAGGUUUGUCCCCUGCUUUUCACUUUGCUCUUUGCUUCUACUGACCUUAUUUUGCUUUGCCAGACUCACAUGAUCAACCAAUCCAGUUGCAACUUCCAAUUCUAUGAUUCUUAUAUUGCAUAACUAUUUGGGCUUCUGUACUUCCAAUUUUGUUGGGUUCUUGCUUAAUUUUUUAGGCUCUUAUUCAGGGGUUAUUGCUCUUUCCUUAAUGAUUUCUUUCUUCGAGUCUUUACAGAGUAUUCAUACAUAUGCCGUGAUGCAUAUGCCCCCUUACGUAACAGAUUUUGGAUGCUUCGGAAAAAGGAAUUUUUGUGUCUUAACUGUUGCCUUAUAUGAACAAUUAGAGAAUAUUCUUGUUUUGGGGAUAAUAAAGAAAAUAUGUGGUUUUGAAAAAGGAUCGUGUAAUUAAUCUGUAAUCUGAGUUUUGUGUCUCUCUUAACAAGGUAGGAUCUUUAGGAGGGGAAGCUUAGAGAGUUUGCCGCAGAGAUGGGGGAGAUUACCAACGUCACGGAAUAUCAGGCAAUUGCCAAGCAGAAGUUGCCAAAGAUGGUAUAUGAUUACUAUGCAUCAGGUGCAGAGGAUGAAUGGACUCUGGCGGAGAAUAGAAACGCUUUCUCCAGAAUUUUGUAAGUUGAUGCCUAUUUUCAAGGCCUAGAAUAAACAAUGGUUCAGUAACUCUUCAGCAAUUUGUUAAGAUUGAUUGCUGAUUUCAUCUAACUAUGCUGCUUAAUUGAAACCAAUACAGGUUUAGGCCACGGAUUCUAAUUGAUGUGAGCAGGAUUGACAUGACCACCACCAUCUUGGGAUUUAAGAUUUCAAUGCCCAUCAUGAUUGCCCCAACUGCCAUGCAGAAAAUGGCUCAUCCUGAAGGUAACAGAUUCCUAGCUUUUAACAAAACAACUUUCUUUCUUAGCAGCUGAUACCCUAUAAGUACCAUAGGAAAUGACAGUCUUCAAAGAUUGAUGAUUGAUUAACUCAUAUUCGUGUUAAUACUGUUCAGAAUUAGAGAACCUCCUGGAAGAUAUAGUCACGUCUCCUGGAAAUAUCCAUUUGGGAAUCCUGAUGUUACCAAAUUGUUCAACUAGGAUUGUUAUGCAUAAAGCCAUACUGUUAUCAAUUUGUUUCGACUUGCUUAACUUGAAGUUGAGCUUGCGUGACGUCUUCAAACUUCAAUUUCUGUUAGCAAGCAAUACUUGGCUGAUCUUAGCUACCUGGUUGCACCCAUUGCACCAAGAACCUUGCUCAAUGUCCUUUUAUUUGAUGUAGUUUGCUCCUCAAAGUAUUCUACUUUUGGAUAAAUGUAGUUGCAGUACAUUUUGCUGAUAUCAUACCUCCUUGGAAAGAAAAAGGGAAAAAUGGAAAAGGAGACUUUUUGACUUGUUUUAUAUUUCUCUAUGACAAUUAAAGAAGCAGGAAAAUCCUCUAUAUUUCUCUAUGACAAAACAAAAGAAAGAUUAUUUAUUGGAAUGGGAACAUUUUUAAAGUGAUUGAAAAAGAAAAGAUGAGUAGGAUAAUCCAUGAAGGAAAUGUGAUUAAUCUAUUAGUCUCUGCAUGAUGUGAAGCAGCUCACUUCUUUGUACCAAACAUGCUUUUGAAGUUCUUGAAGCUGAUAUGGACUAAUUUUAUGCAGGUGAAUAUGCAACUGCAAGAGCCGCAUCAGCUGCAGGAACAAUUAUGGUUAAAUACAUAUCCUUGGGAAAUUUAUAUCGAAUCUUUUGAAAGAAGAUUUAGAUCAUGUUUAAAUUCAUAGAGUCACAUUAUUUGGCAGUAUCUACUCUCCAAGAAGGCAAGAACUAUCAAAGUUGACAUGACAAUGUAGCAAGAUUUUUACGUUGUGUGGCUUUAUAUAGCACACUGGAAAAUAAUGGAACCUGGAGAUUAAACUACAAAGACUUGUAAUAUACACUGAAUUAUUAAUGUAUGAUCUGUUGGUGAUUUCAGACGCUGUCAUCAUGGGCUACUUCCAGUGUUGAAGAGGUUGCAUCAACAGGACCAGGCAUCCGGUUUUUUCAAAUUUAUGUAAGCAUGAAUUUGCAAUCCUUGCAAUCUUUUUGUGUUACUGCUGUUGCUGUUCCAGCUCUUGACUUGUCAUCAUCAGUUACCUAUAGACAAAUUUCAUACCUCUGCUAUGCAGGUCUUCAGGGACAGGAAUAUUGUUGCUCAGUUUGUGCGAAGAGCUGAAAGGGCAGGUUUUAAGGCUAUGGCCCUUACUGUUGACCUACCUAGAGGGGGACGCAGAGAAGCAGAUAUCAAGAAUCGGUGUGUUUGAAUUCCAACAUUAUCAUAGAUCUUAGACUUAUUGAAUUAGGUUGUGCUACAUCACAAUUUGAGGGGUUAGACUUUAACCUUAAAGUACUAGAGGUUAAUAAACUAUCUCCGAAGAGUGCAUUUGACUGAAUCUGAUACAGAUUUACUUUGCCACCAUUUUUGACAUUGAAGAACUUCGAGGGAUUAGACCUUGGCAAGAUGGACAAAGUAAGUUGCAACAAUAACUGGUCCAUAUAUGUAACUGGUCUGAAUUUUUGAGGUCUUAUACAAGUUUUAAUUGUUGUCCUAUUUGCAGGCAGAUGACUCUGGAUUAAUUUCAUAUGCUGCUGGUCAAACUGAUCGCACUCUAACUUGGAAGGUACAGUAGCUGCAUUGUCAUAACUGAAUGGAUCGUUUGCUAAGUCAUGGACUCAACACUAUGCUCACCCUAGUUUGGCUGCUUGCAUCUUGGCAUUCCCGUUGGAGCUAUUUGUGUGGAACUAGUUUCUGAAAGUAUAAAAACCUAAAAACAAUUUUCAUGAAACUUGAGUCAGUAUCCUGAACCUAGUAGAAAUGGCAUACCAUUCGUUAUGAGUUUCCAAUUUCUUUAUAUUCUCAUUAUUUGAGUAGGAUUAAGGUGACAUUACCAAAAAAAAAAAGGACUUUUAGAAAAACUGAAAGAGCAUAGCUAGAAGUUUACCUUGUUCUUAAAGAAAUCAAUAUUAACUAUGUCUUUCUCAAAACUGACAGGAUUUCAAGUGGCUCCAGACCAUCACUUCAAUGCCCAUCCUUGUGAAGGGUGUCCUUACUGCUGAAGAUGGUAAGAACUCAGAACAAUGGAGGCCCUCACAAUCACCUCUUUAGUGGUCAGGCUUUUGAUGAUAUGUACUAAUGUAAUGAGGAAAUGACUCUUGCAGCAAGAAUAGCUGUCCAGAAUGGAGCAGCUGGCAUCAUUGUAUCCAAUCAUGGUGCCCGUCAACUUGAUUAUGUUCCUGCAACUAUUAUGGCUUUGGAAGAGGUGCCCAACUCUUGCCUGGCUUAUCAUCUGCUUUACAUUUAAACGCCCGAUGAAUACACCAAAAUUAAGCUAAUCGGAAACUUUUUAUCAUAUCAUUAUUUGGUAACCAUGUUCUCUGAUGUGAAAACUUUAGGUUGUGAAAGCUGCACAGGGUCGUGUGCCAGUGUUCUUGGAUGGAGGGGUCCGUCGUGGCACUGAUGUCUUCAAGGCCUUAGCCCUUGGAGCUUCUGGCAUAUUCGUAAGUUCAACAUAUUAACGAAAUUUAUAGUAGAAUCUUCCAUGAUGUUGGUAUGAUCUCAUUCUGUCCAUAAAUAUGGACGAAUUGGUCUAAUGUAAUUUGCAUAUGUUUCUGCAAAACAAGUGAUCAUGUGGUCAUGUUCUGAAUGGACAGAUUGGAAGACCUGUGGUUUUCUCCUUGGCUGCAGAAGGAGAAGCUGGAGUUAGAAAAGUACUUCAGAUGCUGCGUGAGGAAUUUGAGCUAACCAUGGCGUUGAGCGGCUGCCGGUCACUCUCGGAGAUUACUCGCAACCACAUUGUCACCGACUGGGAUGUUCCACGCCUUCUUCCUCCAGCAAGGCUUUGAAUGCAGCUGCCUAAAUUAGAGGCAACUGCUUCAUUACAAUUUGAACCAUGGCAUUUGUGCUUUCAAGAGAAUCCCUUUUCAUGAAAACUCACUUAUGUUUAAAUGAGUCUACAAUCUACAUUAUGAUAAUGUCAAAGCUUUUGAGUAGAGGUGGCAAUUUGUCCCAAGUCCCAAUGGGUUACCCAUGCCCAAAAGGACUUUAGGCGGGAUGGGUAUUAUAAUUUGAUAUUGGAUUUAAAAUGGGAUGCAUCCCAAUUGUACCCAUUAUUUGAUGGGAAAUGUUGGGAAAUAUUUGGGUACCCAUUGGGCUCAAAUAUCUUCCCAAAAAAUUUCAUUUAUCAAAAAAUUCAUCUUUGAUUUUUUUUUUUUUUUUGCAAAAAUCUGAUUUUUUUGCACUUCCAUUUUCUUUCUUUUCCUUUCUUCACUUUCCUACAAAAGAAAACCAAUUAAGUAAAAAUGAUUUCAUUUAAACAACUUAAAAAAAAUAAAGAUAACAAUAAAAAUAAAAUGAAUUGAUAAAAUUUUGUUGUCUACAAGAAUCAAUACUUUACUAACAAUUGUUGGCACCCUUUAUGUUGAUUUUAUGCUAAUUGUUGAACUAUCUACAUAGAUUUCUAUAUGCAACAUUGUUAUCAAUUUUUAAUCAGCUUUUUCGUUUCUAUGCUAGUUUUAUUCAGCAUUUAAUGUGAAUUUCUUUUGUAUCAAAUUUUGGAAAUUUUAAGAAUGUCAAUAAGAAUGAAUUUGGUAUUAAAAAAUCUUGUUUCUAGUUCUUGUGUUAGACAAUAUUAUGGAUAAGGUUGGAAUAUGGCUAUAUAUCUAUAUUUUCCUUUAUUUGUUAAUCCAAUUUUUGGUUUAAUCCAGGGAGAAGAUAUGUUCAUUCUUACCAAAAUGUUAUGUCUUUUAAAAGUAACUAUUGAUCGUUCUAGAAUGUAAAUGAAUUCAGGAAAAUAUAAAUUCACAAUAAGAUAAAAAGAAAUUUAACAAAUAAAAAUAUUAAAGUUAUAUAAAAAAUAAAAAAGAAUUAAAAGAAAAAAAUAUAGAAAAUAAAUUUGGGUAUUGGGCGGGAUCAAUCUAAACACAUUCCAAAGUGAUCCCGCCCAAGUUAGUCCCAAAACAUAUAUGGGUAAGGUUAGACACAAAUCCAUGUGAUUCGGUUCCAUUUCGAAUCCAAACAAAUUCAUGUGCAUGAGAUUGGACCAAAGUUUAUUCUAAAAAUAUGAGCUCUAGCUUUCUUAUUAAGAUGCUGCUAUCUGAAGUAUUCAUCCUUUUCACAAAUUUUGUUGUCUACCUCCAUUCACAAUUCAACAUUAUGGGUUGUAUUAUUGCAGAAUCCUCCAUCAGUUCCUACUUUAGUAGCUGUUAAAUGGGCCAGCUGCCUGAGACAUUCUGCUUUUGUAUUAGACUGGCAUAAUUUUGGUUACACACUACUUUCACUGACUCUUGGGAGGGGCAGCAGUUUUGUGACAAUAUAUCGUUGGUAUAAGACAAACCUUUUCCAUUUAAGUGUAGAAUUGGACCUUUUCUUAAUUAAUGAUUCAUAAAGUCAAAACAUAUCUAGGAUUGAGAAGCAUUACGGGAGGAUGGCAAGUGGUGCCUUUUGUGUGACAAAGGCAAUGCAACAUGAAUUGGAUCAGAACUAGGGGAUUAAGUAAGAGUAUGAAUUCUCUUCUUCACAUUUGGCUCUGAUUGGUCAUCUUAUGGUUUAGCUCCAGCAAGUAUUCCUUAUCAUUUUUGUGUUUUUAUAUCUCAGAGCAACUGUGCUUUAUGAUCAACCUCCUGAAUUUUUCCGACCUGCUUCCAUUGAGGAGAAGCAUGAGGUACUUUUUUUUUCCAAUCGGAUUGUUCAGCAACAUGUAUUGACUUUGAGAAUUUUAAAAAUUGACUGUGGAUUGUAGUUGUUUUGUAGGAUCAGCGAAAGUCUCAGUCAACCCUUUGGACUUCAAGACUGCAUAAGCUAUGGUAGUAGUAACACAAUUUGUUAUGCAGUUGAUCUUUAUUUGAUGUUGAAUUAGUUGAUGCCAAUCAUGGUUUUCUCUUAAAACUGCAGGAAUGACUGGAACAGGUGAAAGUGAUCCCAAUUCUACCUUAUUUACAAUUCAUACUGGCACAAAUAUAAUUAUGAAGCAGAACAGACCUGCCAUCAUUGUAAGCAGCACAAGUUGGUAAGCUGUUGAUGUGUCUUCAUUCAGUAGAUCAACUAAGCACCUAAUUACUAAAUUGUAGAUGACUAUCCUACUCCACAGUAUCUUGGGAGCUUAUGAAACUUUUUAAGGUAAAGUUAUGGCUUUAGUUCUUCGGAGACAGAUAACCAUUUGAGGAGUGUUAUUGAUUUGAGAUCAAACUGUUCACAACACAGAAACAUUGAUUAGUUUAGUGAUCUCCCAACAACAGAAAUUAGUACCACUGCUGUUUUUGCGAGCUUCAAAACCAGAAAGAAGGGUACCAAUGAUAAUCUGAAUAGCUUUUUCAUGCAUUCUUCAAUUCUUUCGCAUGAAAUGCAGUACGAAAUGGUAGUUAUGUGGUUAAUGGGCCAUAACUAAAUGAUGUGAGUUUAUAGCAAAUAUAGAUGGCGGCUGUUGUCUUAAGGAAUAGCCAAAUUGUUAUAAUGUUGUUAUUCUGCAUAGCAUCUCUGAUUCCAUAUAAGUAAUUUUCAGGACUCCAGAUGAAAACUUUAGCAUUCUUUUGGAGGCAGCACUUAUGUAUGAUAGACGAGUUGCAGGACUAUUAAAUGAGGAUGAUGUGAGUGAUGGGGAAAUUUUAUGGAAUGAAAUCUUGUGCCAAGGUGGAGGAGUUCAAGAAAAUGUAUGUUUCUACAAUUAAUAUGCUUAUGCAGUUAUCUUUUUUUGUUUCUGCCCUUUAAAUAUAUAUUUUUUUAUGCAAAUUAUUGUGUGGGGAAGUUCUGCUAACUAAAUGCCCAACUGUUUUCCAUGUGCUAUAUAAAAGUGCAUAUACCAACUAUUUUAGGGUAUGAUUGCUCUAACGGAGUUUUAUGCUACUUUUUUCACGAGUAUAAUCAUCUCAAGGAGUGACUUUAUAUGAGCUUGCUUCUGUCUGGUGCCUGAUUUUGAUUUUUGAUAUGAUCUCAAAUUGCUUACGCAACGGUCUAAAUUGGUUGCUUCUUGUGCACUUUUAGUUGUGCCUUGCACAUUUAUCUCAAUGUAUGUGCAUUUAUGUUGUCUUUGUUCGUUUUUCUGGCUCAGCAUGGUUUUAUUUUUGAAUGAUGUGGUGACCAUUAUGAUGAUUGAGUUGUUGGUUUUGCUGGUAUAUCUAGAGGAAAAUCCCAUAUUCAUUGAUUUUCCUGAUUAUAGAUAAGAGUUUGGAGAGAUGGUGCUUUUAGUCAAGAAGUAUUUAAGUCAAGAAGUGCCUUUGAAGAUAUGGCUUGAAUGUAAAGCACUUUUAAUAACUGAUAUUUCUUGGCAAGGCACUUAUGUCAUAUGCUAAAAAUUUUAGUUUCUUUUUUGGCAAAGUGCAUUCAUGGCCAUGCAUUACUUUCGCAAACAACCUUUCUAUAAAGUCGCAACACUUGCUAUCUUUCAUAUUGAUCAUUGAUCUAAGGAUUCUCUCUCUCUCUCUCUCUCUCUCUCUCUCUCUCUCUCUCUCAGCAUUGAGAAAGAGGCUUCAUCAGUGCUGGCAUCAUGUGGUUGGUCAGAAGAAGUUUACACUUUUAUGCUUUCUCGGAAAAAGCUGUGUGUGGGACGAGCAGAAUAUGAUGCAUCAAAUGUCAACCAAUUGAAGUAAGUUUCUUGAGUUGUUGAAAUUCAGGUUUUUUCCUCUGGCUUUCAUGUAUUUCAUUCUUUAAUUAAUGCUUCCUUCUCUUUAGUUAACCUGGAUGUGGAACAUUUGAUGCUUUAUAGAUGACCAAAAUUUUCAGACACUGAUUAAAAUUGCUAGAAUAUGAGGAGCUGAAUGUGUCAAUAGUGUUUAGUGUUCCUGAAUUUAUUGUGUCCAAACAAAUGGAUUCAGCAUACUGAUUUCAAUUGUCCUUGUAUUCUAUUGGAGAGCUCUCAUGGACUGUGGAACCUUUUAAGCCACAAAUCUGAUUGCCAUAUUAUUGCAUUAGAGGUUGUUAACUGAAAUGGGAGGUGAGACAAGUUAACCGUGGAAUCAGUUUGUUUACCUGGAUGUUGUGAUUUAUGAUGUCAUUACUCCCUUUUUACAUGAUUAUCCACUUAUCAAUAAAAUAUUUUUGUGCCUGUGGAAUUUAAUUAUGCAACCUUUACAUGCAUUUGAUAUUUUGUAUCUUCUCUUCUUUGUACUUAUUUGUAACUUACAGCUCAUAUGGAAUCUCGUCUACAUUUAUGUCAUACAGGAGGCUGUUGAUAAAAGAUGCCAAAUCAGCCUUCAUUUCAAAAAUUCCCGAGUCGUUGAAGGGGAGGCUUAUUGAACAUCUAGUAUUAUUCAGCAAAGAGAAACAACCUUCUAUUGCGUGAGCAGUCUUGCAAGGUAAGCAUUCAAGAAAGACAAUUAUGUUCUCAAGAUUUACUAUGCUCCUCAUUAGAAGAAAUGAGAUUUUACCUGGUCGCUCUGCCUUUAAUCUCUUUUCCUUGUAUGGACUGUACUUGAACAUAUGUUUCGGCCGCUUGCAGCCUCUAGCAAUUGUAGAUGAUGAGGUUGGCUCCUCAUACUGUGAUGCUGAAAAUGAUGGAGUUAAUUUACUAUGGCAUCCUGAAGUCUGAAUUUAAUUACGAGUAUAUUCUAUUUCAUCAGUGGCAGAAGAUACUCUUAUCACAUCUCUAAUGUUUUUGGAACUCGGUAACUGGUCGAUUGAACCAAUUGUAGAUGAUCGUCCUGUAAAAGAUAAGGCAUACAAAAGUCGAGCCUGGGUGUCACCUUAAAUUUGCUUCUUGCAGGCGGUGCAAUAGGUGUUUGAUAGAGAAUGACACAAAUGUUGCUCAUAUUGUAUGAUAUCCUUUUUGAUCGUAUGUGUAGCAUAGAAUCCCAUUUUAUGGAUGUAUCACAAUUUUCCCAUCAAAAUGUGGCCGGAGUGUACGAUUGGAUCAGCAAUUGAGUAUUAUUACUACUACUUUUUCUAACAUUUGCACUGAUCUUGCUUUUACCGUUUUGAAGUG